GAUGAACGCUGGCGGCGUGCCUAAUACAUGCAAGUCGAGCGAACAGACGAGGAGCUUGCUCCUCUGACGUUAGCGGCGGACGGGUGAGUAACACGUGGAUAACCUACCUAUAAGACUGGGAUAACUUCGGGAAACCGGAGCUAAUACCGGAUAAUAUAUUGAACCGCAUGGUUCAAUAGUGAAAGCCGGUUUUGCUGUCACUUAUAGAUGGAUCCGUGCCGCAUUAGCUAGUUGGUAAGGUAACAGCUUACCAAGGCAACGAUGCGUAGCCGACCUGAGAGGGUGAUCGGCCACACUGGAACUGAGACACGGUCCAGACUCCUACGGGAGGCAGCAGUAGGGAAUCUUCCGCAAUGGGCGAAAGCCUGACGGAGCAACGCCGCGUGAGUGAUGAAGGUCUUCGGAUCGUAAAACUCUGUUAUUAGGGAAGAACAAAUGUGUAAGUAACUAUGCACGUCUUGACGGUACCGAAUCAGAAAGCCACGGCUAACUACGUG
rnacentral:rRNA from 1 species